rnacentral:rRNA from 1 species
UACGUAGGGGGCUAGCGUUGUCCGGAAUCAUUGGGCGUAAAGAGCGCGUAGGCGGCCAGAUAAGUCCGGUGUGAAAGUCAAAGGCUCAACCUUUGAAUGCCGCUGGAAACUGUCUGGCUAGAGUCCGGGAGGGGCGAGUGGAAUUCCUGGUGUAGCGGUGAAAUGCGCAGAUAUCAGGAGGAACACCAAUGGCGAAGGCAGCUCGCUGGAACGGUACUGACGCUAAGGCGCGAAAGCGUGGGGAGCGAACAGG